GACGAACGCUGGCGGCGUGCUUAACACAUGCAAGUCGAACGGAAAGGCCCUGCUUUUGUGGGGUGCUCGAGUGGCGAACGGGUGAGUAACACGUGAGUAACCUGCCCUUGACUUUGGGAUAACUUCAGGAAACUGGGGCUAAUACCGGAUAGGAGCUCCUGCUGCAUGGUGGGGGUUGGAAAGUUUCGGCGGUUGGGGAUGGACUCGCGGCUUAUCAGCUUGUUGGUGGGGUAGUGGCUUACCAAGGCUUUGACGGGUAGCCGGCCUGAGAGGGUGACCGGCCACAUUGGGACUGAGAUACGGACCAGAAUCGUACGGGAGGCAGCAGUGGGGAAUCUUGCACAAUGGGCGGAAGCCUGAUGCAGCAACGCCGCGUGCGGGAUGCCGGCCUUCGGGUUGUAAACAGCUUUCGCAUGUGACGAAGCGUGAGUGACGGUAAUGGGUAAAGAAGCACCGGCUAACUACGUG
rnacentral:rRNA from 1 species